rnacentral:snRNA from 1 species
AUCGCUUCUCGGCCUUUUGGCUAAGAUCAAGUGUAGUAUCAAUGAAGCUUUCCCUGAUCACUCCAGAAGCAGAAUUAAUUUUGGUCUUCUUUGCACUUUGCUUCUACUUCUGUAGUUGUAUUCUGCUGUUGUAUCACACUCAAAUCUCCUCUCAUUCAUGAAAUUGAGAUCUUAUG